UAAUAAGCUAGUGAAAAGGGUGCGUGUUCUACCUUGAUAGAACCGCUUAAUAGGGAAGGCCGGUGCGAAUCCGGCGCGGUCCCGCCACUGUAAAUGCAGAGUGACCCCUGCUGAUGUGCCACUGUCCGGAUGUUUAGAAGGGCGGGAAGGCAAGGGGGAACGAUGAAGCACAAGCCAGGAGACCUGCCUUUUUCACAGACGUUUC
rnacentral:ncRNA from 2 species